UUCCUACGGGAGGCAGCAGUAGGGAAUCUUCCACAAUGGGCGCAAGCCUGAACGAGCAAUGCCGCGUGAACGAGGAAGGUCUUCGGAUCGUAAAGUUCUGUUGAAGGGGAAAAAGAGCGGAGAGAGGAAAUGAACUCCGAUUGAUAUUACCCUUCGAGGAAGUCACGGCUAACUACGUGCCAGCAGCCGCGGUAAUACGGAGGAUGCGAGCGUUAUCCGGAUUUAUUGGGUUUAAAGGGUGCGCAGGCGGAUUUUUAAGUCAGCGGUCAAAUCGUGGGGCUCAACCCCAUCCAGCCGUUGAAACU
rnacentral:rRNA from 1 species